GCCGGUAUAGCUCAGCUGGUAGAGCGGCGCAUUCGUAAUGCGUAGGUCGCAAGUUCAAAUCUUGUUGCCGGCUCCA
rnacentral:tRNA from 4 species